rnacentral:rRNA from 1 species
AUUGAACGCUGGCGGCAUGCCUUACACAUGCAAGUCGAACGGUAACAGGUCUUCGGAUGCUGACGAGUGGCGAACGGGUGAGUAAUACAUCGGAACGUGCCUAGUAGUGGGGGAUAACUACUCGAAAGAGUGGCUAAUACCGCAUGAGAUCUACGGAUGAACGCAGGGGAUCGCAAGACCUUGUGCUACUAGAGCGGCCGAUGGCAGAUUAGGUAGUUGGUGGGAUAAAAGCUUACCAAGCCGACGAUCUGUAGCUGGUCUGAGAGGACGAUCAGCCACACUGGGACUGAGACACGGCCCAGACUCCUACGGGAGGCAGCAGUGGGGAAUUUUGGACAAUGGGCGCAAGCCUGAUCCAGCAAUGCCGCGUGCAGGAAGAAGGCCUUCGGGUUGUAAACUGCUUUUGUACGGAACGAAAAGCCCUGGGUUAAUACCCUGGGGUCAUGACGGUACCGUAAGAAUAAGCACCGGCUAACUACGUGCCAGCAGCCGCGGUAACAC